rnacentral:rRNA from 1 species
GGCGGACGGGUGAGUAAUGCUUAGGAAUCUGCCUGUUAGUGGGGGACAACGUUCCGAAAGGAAUGCUAAUACCGCAUACGUCCUACGGGGGAAAGCAGGGGAUCUUCGGACCUUGCGCUAAUAGAUGAGCCUAAGUCGGAUUAGCUAGUUGGUGGGGUAAAGGCCUACCAAGGCGACGAUCUGUAGCGGGUCUGAGAGGAUGAUCCGCCACACUGGGACUGAGACACGGCCCAGACUCCUACGGGAGGCAGCAGUGGGGAAUAUUGGACAAUGGGCGGAAGCCUGAUCCAGCCAUGCCGCGUGUGUGAAGAAGGCCUUUUGGUUGUAAAGCACUUUAAGCGAGGAGGAGGCUCCUUUAGUUAAUACCUAAAGAGAGUGGACGUUACUCGCAAAAUAAGCACCGGCUAACUCUGUGCCAGCAGCCGCGGUAAUACAGAGGGUGCGAGCGUUAAUCGGAUUUACUGGGCGUAAAGCGUGCGUAGGCGGCUUUUUAAGUCGGAUGUGAAAUCCCUGAGCUUAACUUAGGAAUUGCAUUCGAUACUGGAAAGCUAGAGUAUGGGAGAGGAUGGUAGAAUUCCAGGUGUAGCGGUGAAAUGCGUAGAGAUCUGGAGGAAUACCGAUGGCGAAGGCAGCCAUCUGGCCUAAUACUGACGCUGAGGUACGAAAGCAUGGGGAGCAAACAGGAUUAGAUACCCUGGUAGUCCAUGCCGUAAACGAUGUCUACUAGCCGUUGGGGCCUUUGAGGCUUUAGUGGCGCAGCUAACGCGAUAAGUAGACCGCC